UGGUGGGGUAAAAGCCUACCAAGGCGACGAUCCAUAGCUGGUCUGAGAGGAUGAUCAGCCACACUGGGACUGAGACACGGCCCAGACUCCUACGGGAGGCAGCAGUGGGGAAUCUUGGACAAUGGGGGAAACCCUGAUCCAGCCAUGCCGCGUGAGUGAUGAAGGCCCUAGGGUUGUAAAGCUCUUUCGCCAGGGAAGAUAAUGACGGUACCUGGAUAAGAAGCCCCGGCUAACUCCGUGCCAGCAGCCGCGGUAAUACGGAGGGGGCUAGCGUUGUUCGGAAUUACUGGGCGUAAAGCGCACGUAGGCGGCUAUCCAAGUUGGGGGUGAAAUCCCUGGGCUUAACCCAGGAACUGCCUUCAAAACUGGAUGGCUAGAGUCCGAGAGAGGUGAGUGGAAUUUCCAGUGUAGAGGUGAAAUUCGUAGAUAUUGGAAAGAACACCAGUGGCGAAGGCGGCUCACUGGCUCGGUACUGACGCUGAGGUGCGACAGCGUGGGGAGCAAACAGGAUUAGAU
rnacentral:rRNA from 1 species